GUCUGCAGCGAGGAGUGUAAUUGCCCCUGUGACCGCGGGCGGCGAGGGCGGGGCGCGCGCCCGGCCUCCUCCCUCCCACUCCGCCGCCGGCACGGAGCCGGCGUUGGGCUGGGAAGGCGCAGAAGGCUGGACAGUGAGCUUCUCAAACUGCCAGGCUUUUUGAGAGCUAGCGGUGGCCGUGUGACUCAGUUCUGGUGCAGGAGAGGUAAAGCAGAAAUGUCUGGGAAGGGUUUCCCUUCCCCAAGAGAGGCCAAACCUUGAACAGAGAAGAAUGCGAAUCCCUCUGUCUCCUUCCUGUCUGGAACUCAAAGCCGGUGCCUGGAGGUGCGGCAGCCGUUUUGGGACUAUGAGGAUGAAACCUGCGUGCCGUGCGGGAAGGAUUCAGGCUGAAGCAGUGGAAGCAGGUACCUGGAAACCUGUUCUCACAGCGGCGGCGGGAGUGCAGGAGCCCAGGGCAAACGGAGCAAGCCCAUUUCAAACCUCUGAUUGUACCCCAUCGACCUACACGCCAUUGACCACAGCGAGUCACGUGGCCCAAUCGACAUCCGUGUGACCCGGAAGUACAUUCCUGCCGGGGAGGAGGGGGUGCCUGACGGGGUUGGAGUGGGACGGGGGCGUGAAUAUUUGCCCAGCAGGGCUACCGUCUAAUACAGUGUGUACGGUGUGUGGAGAGACCCAGGGCCCAGCUACAAAGGCCCGAGGCCGGAGGAGUGGAACUGAAUCCCUUGGGACCACACAGAAAGAUCUAGAAGGAAGCAAGAUGAAGUCGGGGCUAUCAGCGGGUCAUCAGUGACGGGGAGCUGGGAGCUGGGAUCAGAACCUGCCACGGGUCCUUUACGGCUUGCAUGUAAAUUGCUUGCAGUCAGACGACAAAGCCGAUCUGGCAGAAGCGGAGGGCUCGUGCGGGUGCAGGAUUCUUUUGGCAUCUAGUAUUGGAAGCAAGCCGAAACCUCGCUGCUGGUCGGGACAUGCUGCUGGAGGGGUGCUGCGGUGGAAGAGGUCUGGUUGGCGUGACCCGUGCGGGUCUGGUGCCGGUGCAGAGAAGGGAGCUGCAGGUUUCUGACAUUAAAUAUUAACACCAGGUCAAACACCCUGCAGAAGUUGACAUUUGAAGGUUCAGCUCUGUGUGAAAACAUCCAAAGGGAAGUGUGUGAUUUCUCGCCACCCGCCCCCCCAU